GCCCCGCCGGCAAAACAAACCCUGACAUGGGAGAAGAUAACGCGACCGUUCUCCUCAGCAUCAACGGCCGGCUAUUCGCAUCGCGGAUUCGGCGAUGGGGUCACUACAAGAAUUGAUGAAUGCGAUUAAUCUCUUGACUAGCAACCAUGACAAUAUGAAGAAGGACCUUGAGAAAUUUUAGAGAUGCAGCGCGGAAACGGGCCCUUCGGCUGACAGAGCCCGCGCCGACCGACAAUCACUGUACAUUAUCUCCACCCUACACACACGAGGGACAAUUCUUUAUUCAUACACCAAGCCAAUUAACCU